UGCGCAGCUUUCCCGCCGGUUGGAGCGCGGCGCAACGAGAACGAAGAUCCGGCUAAGCAUGUAGAGCACGAGACGUAGGGCUUGCGGACGGGGGUUCGACUCCCCCCGCCUCCACCA
rnacentral:tmRNA from 1 species